rnacentral:rRNA from 1 species
ACAGUCACUGACAUUAGAUACCCGCGUAGUCCAGGGUGUAAACGCUGCAGACUUGGUGUUGGAGGCCCUUUGGGGGCAUUCAGUGCCGGAGAGAAGUUGUUAAGUCUGCUACUUGGGGAGUACGUCCGCAAGGAUGAAACUUAAAGGAAUUGGCGGGGGAGCACCGCAACGGGAGGAGCGUGCGGUUUAAUUGGAUUCAACACCGUAAAACUCACCAGGGAAGACUGUUACAUGAAGGCCGAGAUGAAGACUCUGCUAGAUUUUCAG